rnacentral:lncRNA from 1 species
UCUUGAUUGACGUUUACAUUGGCUAACAAAAUCUUUCACUUCUACCACGCUGGAAUUUCAUAAAAAGAAAUGACAAAAUAUUUCCAAUUUUAUUAUCCUUUAAAAUGAAUUAUUUUUGCCUGUUUGACCUGUUAAGCCGAAUUUUCAGUUUCCCACAAGUGUUUUUUUUUUUUUUUCUUUCUUUCCAGUUUCAGUGCUGCUGCUGCUGCUGCUGCUGCGUCGCUACAGUUGUGUCCGACUCUGUGCGACCCCAUAGAUGGCUACAGAUGGAGAAUUUAGGCUUGGAAAAGAGGUAUCUAACCAGGAGAAACAGCUCCUUGAGACAAAUUUUGAGGGCCUUUUGUGGAACUGCCUUUGAACCUGUGUGCCAGCAGAAGAUUUCAGGAUAAACAAGACAAGACUGAAGAUGACUAGAAAUUCUUCAAAACUGUAUGUCUUAGUACUCCCGAAGUAGACAGACCUUGGUUCAAAUGUUUUCCCCUCCACUUGCUGUUCAAUCUUGGACUAGUUACCUAACAUCCCUGAGUAUUGGUUUCCUUGCCUGAAAGACAGAGGCAAUCCAUAAUCCAUAAUAAAUGUGAAAACAUAAAAGACCCAGCAUGCAAGAACCCAAGAAUCCCUUGAAAUCAAACAGACAAGAGUCCCUUCAUUACUUAGAACACUACCUCUUAAAAUCAAUUAGCAGUUUCUAUUUAAG